rnacentral:rRNA from 1 species
AUUGAACGCUGGCGGCAGGCUUAACACAUGCAAGUCGAGCGGUAACAGAGAGAAGCUUGCUUCUCUGCUGACGAGCGGCGGACGGGUGAGUAAUGCCUAGGAAUCUGCCUAGUAGUGGGGGAUAACUUGCCGAAAGGUAAGCUAAUACCGCAUACGUCCUACGGGAGAAAGGAGGGGACCUUUGGGCCUUUCGCUAUUAGAUGAGCCUAGGUCGGAUUAGUUAGUUGGUGAGGUAAUGGCUCACCAAGACCGCGAUCCGUAACUGGUCUGGGAGUGUGAUCAGUCACACUGGAACUGAGACACGGUCCAGACUCCUACGGGAGGCAGCAGUGGGGAAUAUUGGACAAUGGGGGGAACCCUGAUCCAGCCAUGCCGCGUGUGUGAAGAAGGUCUUAGGAUUGUAAGGCACUUUAAGUUGGGAGGAAGAGCAGUUAACUAAUAUUUGACUGUUUUGACGUUACCGACAGAAUAAGCACCGGCUAACUUCGUGCCAGCCGCCGCGGUAA